CGGCGUGCCUAAUACAUGCAAGUCGAGCGAAGUUUUUCUGGUGCUUGCACUAGAAAAACUUAGCGGCGAACGGGUGAGUAACACGUAAAGAACCUGCCUCAUAGACGGGGACAACUAUUGGAAACGAUAGCUAAUACCGGAUAACAGCAUAAAUCGCAUGAUAUAUGUUUAAAAGUUGGUUUCGGCUAACACUAUGAGAUGGCUUUGCGGUGCAUUAGCUAGUUGGUGGGGUAAAGGCCUACCAAGGCGACGAUGCAUAGCCGACCUGAGAGGGUGAUCGGCCACACUGGGACUGAGACACGGCCCAGACUCCUACGGGAGGCAGCAGUAGGGAAUCUUCCGCAAUGGGCGAAAGCCUGACGGAGCAACGCCGCGUGAGUGAAGAAGGAUUUCGGUUCGUAAAGCUCUGUUGUUAGGGAAGAAUGAUUGUAUAGUAACUAUAUACAGUAGAGACGGUACCUAACCAGAAAGCCACGGCUAACUACGUGCCAGCAGCCGCGGUAAUACGUAGGUGGCAAGCGUUGUCCGGAAUUAUUGGGCGUAAAGCGCGCGCAGGUGGUUUAAUAAGUCUGAUGUGAAAGCCCACGGCUCAACCGUGGAGGGUCAUUGGAAACUGUUAAACUUGAGUGCAGGAGAGAAAAGUGGAAUUCCUAGUGUAGCGGUGAAAUGCGUAGAGAUUAGGAGGAACACCAGUGGCGAAGGCGGC
rnacentral:rRNA from 1 species